rnacentral:rRNA from 1 species
UCAAGCGAACAAGGGCGCAGGGCGAAUGCCUUGGCACUGGGAGCCGAUGAAAGACGUGAUAAGCUGCGAUAAGCUUCGGGGAGCUGCAAAUAAGCAUUGAUCCGGAGAUUUCUGAAUGAGGAAACUCACCUGGGUUCAUACUCAGGUACGUUGUACUGAAAUUCAAAAUAGGUACAUCGGGGGAACCGCCUGAACUGAAACAUCUAAGUAGGGCGAGGAAGAGACAUCAAACGAGAUUCCGUAAGUAGUGGCGAGCGAACGCGGAAGAGGGCAAACCGAGAGUAGAAAUACUUUCGGGGUACGGACUGCUUUUAGGACUUAAUCUGUUAACCGAACGGCAUGGGAAGGCCGGUCAGAGAGUGUGAGAACCACGUAGGUGAAAACGACAAGAGCUGAGCGAUUUCCAGAGUACGGCCAGACACGUGAAACCUGGUCGGAAGAUGGGGGGACCACCCUCCAACCCUAAAUACUACCCAGUGACCGAUAGCGUAUAGUACUGUGAAGGAAAGGUGAAAAGCACCCCGGGAGGGGAGUGAAAAAGAACCUGAAACCCUGUGCCUACAAGCACCUAGAGCACGUCAAUGUGUGAUAGGGUACUUUUUGUAGAACGGUCCGGCGAGCGAUUGUAUGCAGCAAGGUUAAGGACUUAAGGUCUGGAGCCGAAGCGAAAGCGAGUUUGAAAAGGGCGUUAAGUUGCAUAUAAUGGGCCCGAAACCGGGUGACCUACCCAUGGUCAGGUUGAAGUGGAAGUAAAAUUCCAUGGAGGACCGAACCGACCUCCGUUGAAAAGGCGGCGGAUGAACUGUGGGUAGCGGAGAAAUUCCAAUCGAACCCGGAGAUAGCUGGUUCUCCCCGAAAUAGUUUUAGGACUAGCCUCAAGUUAGAUACCUGGAGGUAAAGCACUGAAUAGCCUAGCGGCCGAGAGGUUAGCGAAGCUUAUCAAACUCAGAAUGCCAGAGUAUUGAUGCUUGGGAGUCAGACAGUGUCAGAUAAAUGUCAUUGUCAAAAGGGAAACAGCCCAGAUCUACAGCUAAGGUCCCAAAGUCAGGUUAAGUGGAAAACGAUGUGAAGAUACGCAGACAACCAGGAUGUUGGCUCAGAAGCAGCCACUCAUUCAAAGAGUGCGUAAUAGCUCACUGGUCGAGCGUCUUUGCGCGGAGAAUUUAACGGGGCUAAACCUGACACCGAAGCUUAGGCAAUCCAGUAAUGGAUUGGGUAGGGGAGCGUUGUAUACGCGGAGAAACAGUAGCGCAAGCGGCUGUGGAGUGUAUAGAAGUGAGAAUGCCGGAAUGAGUAGCGCGAAUGCAGUGAGAAUCUGCAUGGCCGAAAGCCUCAGGUUUUUGGAGGAAGGUUCGUCCGCUCCAAGUUAGUCGGGAGCUAAGGUGAGGCCGAAAGGCGUAGCCGAUGCACAGACGGUAGAGAUUCCGUCACCACCAAAAGAGUUAAGCACAGGGACACAUUUGAAGUCUCGGAGCCGGGUGUUGGUUCCGGUAGCGAUCGAGGGAAAUUAGUACCGAAGUCUGAGAUGGAAGAUGGCGAGAAAAGCUGUGUGUAUUUCUGAGGUGCCCGUACCGCAAACCGACACAGGUAGGUAGGAAGAAGAUUCUAAGGCCAACGGGAGAAGGGUUGUUAAGGAACUCGGCAAAUUGACCCCGUAACUUCGGGAGAAGGGGUGCUCCAGAGAUGGAGCCGCAGAGAAUCGGCCCAAGCAACUGUUUACCAAAAACACAGGUUUGUGCUAAAUCGAAAGAUGACGUAUACGAGCUGACGCCUGCCCGGUGCUGGAAGGUUAAGAGGAGAUGUGCAAGCAUUGAAUCGAAGCCCCAGUGAACGGCGGCCGUAACUAUAACGGUCCUAAGGUAGCGAAAUUCCUUGUCAGGUAAG